UACGAAGGGUGCAAGUGUUAUUCGGAAUUAUUGGGUGUAAAGCGUGCGUAGGCGGUUUGUUAAGUCCGUUGUGAAAGCCCUGGGCUCAACCUGGGAAUUGCAGUGGAUACUGGUGAGCUAGAGUGCGGUAGAGGAUGGUGGAAUUCCCGGUGUAGCGGUGAAAUGCGUAGAGAUCGGGAGGAACAUUCGUGGCGAAGGCGGCCAUUUGGAUUAGUACUGACGCUGAGGCACGAAAGUGUGGGGAGCAAACAGG
rnacentral:rRNA from 1 species